CUUAGCUCAGCGGUUAGAGCAGGGAACUCAUAAUUCCUUGGUCGCGGGUUCGAAUCCUGCAGGGCCUA
rnacentral:tRNA from 1 species